UACGGAGGAUGCAAGCGUUAUCCGGAAUGAUUGGGCGUAAAGCGUCCGCAGGUGGCUAUGUAAGUCUGCUGUUAAAGAGUGAGGCUCAACCUCAUAAGAGCAGUGGAAACUGCAUGGCUAGAGUGCGUUCGGGGCAGAGGGAAUUCCUGGUGUAGCGGUGAAAUGCGUAGAUAUCAGGAAGAACACCGGUGGCGAAAGCGCUCUGCUAGGCCGCAACUGACACUGAGGGACGAAAGCUAGGGGAGCGAAUGGG
rnacentral:rRNA from 1 species